GCUGGAUUAUCUGAAGUGUAGGAAACACGACUCUAAUCUGUGGCAGUGUCCAUCUUCACCCUGGGGACAGAACAGAUGUGAUAAUGGUGAUGAGGUGGCUCGUAUUACCUGCACAGAUGAUGGAAAGUCUCUACGUACACAAGAAAAGUGCUCUUCAUUUCCCUCUCAGAAACACUGCUCAAAGCACUGGUCUCUCAGGCUGAGUGGAGUAGAGGGAAGCUGCUCUGGGAGGUUGGAG